rnacentral:lncRNA from 1 species
UCUCUCUCUCUCUCUCUCUCUCUCUCUCUCUCAUGUGAUCAAUAUAACUCUACAUCAACAAUGCCCUCUUUUAAAAACUACUGUGAAAUUAUGAUCAGGAUAGCCACAAGAUUCAUCUCUUUUUCAAAUCUAUUCAACAUACUUUUGACAUCAGGGUAGACACAGCAUCUGACUCUCCUUCCAAGCAUGGCAACAUCCUUUUGGCAACAGAGUAGACAAAUUAUCUAUCUACAUUUCAAAUCUUUGCAACAACCUUUUGACAUCAGGG